AUUGAACGCUGGCGGAUGCUUUACACAUGCAAGUCGAACGGCAGCACGGACUUCGGUCUGGUGGCGAGUGACGAACGGGUGAGUAAUGUAUCGGAACGUGCCCAGUCGUGGGGGAUAACGUAGUGAAAAUUACGCUAAUACCGCAUACGAUCUAUGGAUGAAAGCGGGGGAUCGCAAGACCUCGCGCGAUUGGAGCGGCCGAUAUCAGAUUAGGUAGUUGGUGGGGUAAAGGCCCACCAAGCCAACGAUCUGUAGCUGGUCUGAGAGGACGACCAGCCACACUGGAACUGAGACACGGUCCAGACUCCUACGGGAGGCAGCAGUGGGGAAUUUUGGACAAUGGGCGAAAGCCUGAUCCAGCCAUUCCGCGUGCAGGAUGAAGGCCCUCGGGUUGUAAACUGCUUUUGUACAGAACGAAAAGGUUUCUACUAAUACUAGGAGCUCAUGACGGUACUGUAAGAAUAAGCACCGGCUAACUACGUGCCAGCCGCCGCGGUAA
rnacentral:rRNA from 1 species